rnacentral:lncRNA from 1 species
GCUAUGUUUAUCAAUAAAAAUGCACCUUACUUAAAAGACUAAAAUAUGGACCAAAUGACAUACCUUAAGUUUGUAAUUUGUCAUCAUAACAGUGUAGGUGUGUUUGAAUUAAAAAGUAUCAGAUAGAGAUCGAUUUAUAAGAAAAUUUGUUCUUUUUAUGACAAACCUCUACCCCUUGCGACGCAAAAUCUGACACCCCGAGCGACACUUUAUAUUUUGAUGAAAAACAGUUUUAAAACCAAUUGAUUUUAACUAAGAAACUGGUAUUUGGUAUAGGUCA